UGGGGGAUAUUGCACAAUGGGCGAAAGCCUGAUGCAGCGACGCCGCGUGGGGGAUGAAGGCUUUCGGGUUGUAAACCUCUUUCGCUAUCGAACAAGGCCCGCUUAGGGUGGGUUGAGGGUAGGUGGAGAAGAAGCGCCGGCUAACUACGUGCCAGCAGCCGCGGUAAUACGUAGGGCGCGAGCGUUGUCCGGAAUUAUUGGGCGUAAAGGGCUUGUAGGCGGCUUGUUGCGCCUGCUGUGAAAACGCGGGGCUUAACUUCGCGCGUGCAGUGGGUACGGGCAGGCUUGAGUGUGGUAGGGGUGACUGGAAUUCCAGGUGUAGCGGUGGAAUGCGCAGAUAUCUGUAGGAACACCGAUGGCGAAGGCAGGUCACUGGGCCAUUACUGACGCUGAGGAGCGAAAGCAUGGGUAGCGAACAGG
rnacentral:rRNA from 1 species